GCAGGUCUCUGUCUCUGCUGCUGCGGGGGGUGAUGUCUGGAUCCGUCAUGUUGCCCACCAUGGACUUCAUGGCCGACCCUGAUACUGUGAACCUCAUGGUGCUGAUAUUUGUUGAUAACACUCCACUCGAUCCGGACACCGAGCCCCCGUCUCCACUGGUUCCUUUUUUACAGAAAUACGCCAACGUCAGCAACAAGAAGCAUUCUGUGA